AGCGCAAUGCGGGGCUCCAUCCCAGGACCCCGGGAUCAUGACCUGAGCCGAGGGCAGACGCUUAGCGAACGGGCCCCCGGCAGCCCUGAGCUGUGUCCGUCACAGCCAAGCGAGAACUGUAAGGGCUGCGCUUUCAGGGAGUUCUGCGAGUCGUCCUGGGACAUGCAGGAACCCCAAAUUCAGAGCUGGCAUCUAUGGGGGUGGUCCUGUGGGCUACCCUGUGGGGCAGGUCUGCACUGAGCGCAAGCGUUUUCUUCUGGGCAUCAAUGCACAUGCACCCAAACAGAGGCCCAACGAGUCACACACGGUCUGUGGCGGUCUGUUGUUUCACUUUUCAUUAAGAGCACGGACAUCACAUCAGUAAACCUCCGCCAACACCACGGCCUGCAAGGACCUCAGGGUCCCCUGACAAGGCUGCUCUGGGCACGGAGUCCUGCGGUCCUUCCAGGAAGAUGGCACACAAGCCUGCGGACAGUGCAACCGCCGGUGGGCCCCUGGACUGGCACUUUCCAGGUUCCUUCCUGCGGACGGAACGCCUCACCGUACAGUGUCUGAAGUGAAGGGGACUACUGCCCCCCGGCUAACCGACCUUCCGUUUCAACGGUGCUUCAAAACAAAGGAAUAAACAGGAAAAGGACAUAAAACAAUACA